rfam:Nicotiana attenuata strain TT chromosome 2, whole genome shotgun sequence.
GGGAGAAGAGUCUGUCAAGAUAGCCAUAGAUGACUGCCUAACAUGUCAACCAAACAAGGAUUUCAGCUUACCUUGUUAGUAGUAUAUAUAUGUAGGCAAGUCAUCCUUGGCUACUAAACAAAGGCUCUUCCCU